rnacentral:rRNA from 1 species
UGAGGAAUAUUGGUCAAUGGACGAGAGUCUGAACCAGCCAAAUCGCGUGAAGGAAGACUGCCCUACGGGUUGUAAACUUCUUUUGUACAGGAAUAAAAGACAUUACGUGUAAUGUAUUGCAUGUACUGUACGAAUAAGCAUCGGCUAACUCCGUGCCAGCAGCCGCGGUAAUACGGAGGAUGCGAGCGUUAUCCGGAUUUAUUGGGUUUAAAGGGUGCGCAGGCGGGAUUUUAAGUCAGCGGUGAAAGUUUCAGGCUCAACCUGAACACUGCCGUUGAAACUGGGAUUCUUGAGUAUGGAUGAAGUAGGCGGAAUUCGUUGUGUAGCGGUGACAUGCUGAGAUAUAACGAGGAACUCCGAUUGCGUAGGCAGCUUACUAAGCCAUAACUGACGCUCAAGCACGAAAGCGUGGGGAUCAAACA